GUCUUAUAUUCAAAAUAAUGAUAUAAAAUUGCAAAUUUUAAGAUGUAUACAUAAAUAUGCUAAGGCUU
rnacentral:tRNA from 1 species